UUUUUUUCCCCCGGCAGAGAGAGGAAAACACGCGAGUGCACACACGGUGAUAUCUUGCGGGUGAUGAAUAUGAUAAUUGGACAAGGGACGGACAGAAGAGCUCCUUGGCACUGGAUGCCUCCGGGUCUGGUUGAGAGAGGAAUGGUUAGGAGACUGUUCUGAGGAUACGCAGACAUCAUCCAAAGCUUCCUACAUUCAGAUGAGGACAGAGGUUGGGCCAGAGCUUUGUAAGCUUGUUACCUAAGGAUGGUUCUGACCAUGUAAGCAGAUCACAGAAGAGCCAGCCUUGACAAUGUGCUGAUGGCAACCU
rnacentral:lncRNA from 1 species